rnacentral:rRNA from 1 species
UCUACACUCCAGUGAAAAUGCCCCACACAGUACAAACGGAGCAGGUAUCAGGCACAAACAUUAGCCCAAAACACCAAGCUUUGCCACACCCACACGGGUUCACAGCAGUGAUAAACAUUAAGCAAUGAGCGACACACAAACCAUAAAGCUUGACUUAGUUAUGAUUAACAGGACCGGUAAACCUCGUGCCAGCCACCGCGGUUAUACGAGGGGUCCAAAGCAGCAGACCACGGCGUAAAUAGUGACUAGAAUAAAACCAAAAUACUAAAAACUAAACCCAAACCUAACAGUAAAAUAUAGGCUAAAUGAAAUCAAACAUUUUUAGCAUUAGGUAGUUUGAAUCACGAAAACUAAGAAACAAACUAGGAUUAGAUACCCUACUAUGCUUAGUAGUAAAUAUGAUAUUAUAUUACAUAAAUAUCCGCCAGAAAAUUACGAGCGAAAAGCUUAAAACUCAAAGGACUUGGCGGUGCUCCACACCGACUUAGAGGAGCCUGUCCUAUAAUCGAUACCCCACGAUAAACCUCACCAAUCUUUGCCCCAUCAGCCUAUAUACCGCCGUCGACAACUUACCUCAUGAGAGCCUAACAGUAAGUAAAAAAGUUUAACAACUAAAACGUCAGGUCAAGGUGUAGCUAAUAGAGUGGAAGAGAUGGGCUACAUUUUUUAAAAUAAAACAAACGGCAUGGCAUUAUGAAACUAAUACCUAAAGGAGGAUUUAAUAGUAAAAUUAACAAGAAAAUUAAUUUUAAACCCG